GGUUAAGUGAAUAAGGGCGCACGGUGGAUGCCUUGGCACUAGGAGCCGAUGAAGGACGGGACUAACACCGAUAUGCUUUGGGGAGCUGUAAGUAAGCUAUGAUCCAGAGAUUUCCGAAUGGGGGAACCCAAUAUCUUUUAUAGGAUAUUACUUUUCAGUGAAUACAUAGCUGAUUAGAGGUAGACGCAGAGAACUGAAACAUCUUAGUACCUGCAGGAAGAGAAAGAAAAUUCGAUUCCCUGAGUAGCGGCGAGCGAAACGGGAAGAGCCCAAACCAACAAGCUUGCUUGUUGGGGUUGUAGGACUCCAAUAUGGUAGUCUGUUAGUAUAGUUGAAGGAUUUGGAAAAUUCCGCUAAAGAGGGUGAAAGCCCCGUAGACGAAAUGCUGACAACACCUAGGAGGAUCCUGAGUACGGCGGAACACGAGAAAUUCCGUCGGAAUCCGCGGGGACCAUCCCGCAAGGCUAAAUACUCCCUAGUGACCGAUAGUGAACCAGUACCGUGAGGGAAAGGUGAAAAGCACCCCGGAAGGGGAGUGAAAUAGAUCCUGAAACCGUGUGCCUACAACAAGUCAAAGCUCGUUAAUGAGUGAUGGCGUGCCUUUUGUAGAAUGAACCGGCGAGUUACGAUUGCAUGCGAGGUUAAGUCGAAGAGACGGAGCCGCAGCGAAAGCGAGUCUGAAUAGGGCGAAUGAGUAUGUAGUCGUAGACCCGAAACCAUGUGAUCUACCCAUGUCCAGGUUGAAGGUGCGGUAAAACGCACUGGAGGACCGAACCCACGUACGUUGAAAAGUGCGGGGAUGAGGUGUGGGUAGCGGAGAAAUUCCAAACGAACUUGGAGAUAGCUGGUUCUCUCCGAAAUAGCUUUAGGGCUAGCCUCGGAAUUGAGAAUGAUGGAGGUAGAGCACUGUUUGGACUAGGGGCCCAUCUCGGGUUACCGAAUUCAGAUAAACUCCGAAUGCCAUUCAUUUAUAUCCGGGAGUCAGACUGCGAGUGAUAAGAUCCGUAGUCGAAAGGGAAACAGCCCAGACCACCAGCUAAGGUCCCAAAAUAUAUGUUAAGUGGAAAAGGAUGUGGGGUUGCACAGACAACUAGGAUGUUGGCUUAGAAGCAGCCACCAUUUAAAGAGUGCGUAAUAGCUCACUAGUCGAGUGACCCUGCGCCGAAAAUGUACCGGGGCUAAACAUAUUACCGAAGCUGUGGACUACACCAUUAGGUGUAGUGGUAGGAGAGCGUUCUAAGGGCGUUGAAGGUCGAUCGUGAGGACGGCUGGAGCGCUUAGAAGUGAGAAUGCCGGUAUGAGUAGCGAAAGACAGGUGAGAAUCCUGUCCACCGUAUGACUAAGGUUUCCUGGGGAAGGCUCGUCCGCCCAGGGUUAGUCGGGACCUAAGCCGAGGCCGAUAGGCGUAGGCGAUGGACAACAGGUUGAUAUUCCUGUACCAGUUGUUUUUGUUUGAGCAAUGGAGGGACGCAGUAGGCUAAGGAAUGCAUGCGAUUGGAAGUGCAUGUCCAAGCAAUGAGUCUUGAGUAGAGUUAAAUGCUUUACUCUCUAAGGACAAGUUGUGACGGGGAGCGAAAUAAUAGUAGCGAAGUUCCUGAUGUCACACUGCCAAGAAAAGCUUCUAGUGAGAAAACAACUGCCCGUACCGUAAACCGACACAGGUAGUCGAGGAGAGUAUCCUAAGGUGAGCGAGCGAACUCUCGUUAAGGAACUCGGCAAAAUGACCCCGUAACUUCGGGAGAAGGGGUGCUGACUUCGGUCAGCCGCAGUGAAUAGGCCCAAGCGACUGUUUAUCAAAAACACAGGUCUCUGCAAAAUCGUAAGAUGAAGUAUAGGGGCUGACGCCUGCCCGGUGCUGGAAGGUUAAGAGGAUGGGUUAGCUUCGGCGAAGCUCAGAAUUGAAGCCCCAGUAAACGGCGGCCGUAACUAUAACGGUCCUAAGGUAGCGAAAUUCCUUGUCGGGUAAGUUCCGACCCGCACGAAAGGCGUAACGAUUUGG
rnacentral:rRNA from 3 species